rnacentral:rRNA from 1 species
UACGUAGGAGGCGAGCGUUGUCCGGAUUUACUGGGCGUAAAGGGUGCGCAGGCGGCGGUUCGCGUGGAUAGAUGAAAUCUCCUGGCUUACCUGGGAGGAUGGUAUCCAGACGGGAUCGCUUGAGGGUCGGAGAGGGGCGUGGAAUUCCGGGUGGAGCGGUGAAAUGCGUAGAUAUCUGGAAGAACACCCGUGGCGAAGGCGGUUCUCUGGGACGGUACUGACGCUGAGACGCGAAAGCGUGGGGAGCGAACAGG